GACAGUCAGCAGUUGGUCUGG
rnacentral:miRNA from 1 species